GUGGGGAAUCUUGCGCAAUGAGCGAAAGCCUGACGCAGCCAUGCCGCGUGAAUGAUGAAGGUCUUAGGAUUGUAAAAUUCUUUCACCGGGGACGAUAAUGACGGUACCCGGAGAAGAAGCUCCGGCUAACUUCGUGCCAGCAGCCGCGGUAAUACGAAGGGGGCUAGCGUUGCUCGGAAUUACUGGGCGUAAAGGGCGCGUAGGCGGACAGCUUAGUCAGAGGUGAAAGCCCAGGGCUCAACCUUGGAAUUGCCUUUGAUACUGGCUGUCUUGAGUUUGGGAGAGGUGAGUGGAACUCCGAGUGUAGAGGUGAAAUUCGUAGAUAUUCGGAAGGACACCAGUGGCGAAGGCGACUCACUGGCCCAAUACUGACGCUGAGGCGCGAAAGCGUGGGGAGCAAACAGGAUUAGAAACCCUGGUAGUCC
rnacentral:rRNA from 1 species